rnacentral:rRNA from 1 species
CCGUCCCCCUGGACAAGACUGACGCUCAGGUGCGAAAGCGUGGGGAGCAAACAGGAUUAGAUACCUGGUAGUCACGCUGUAAACGAUGUCGAUUUGGAGGUUGUUCCCUUGAGGAGUGGCUUCCGGAGCUAACGCGUUAAAUCGACCGCCUGGGGAGUACGGCCGCAAGGUUAAAACUCAAAUGAAUUGACGGGGGCCCGCACAAGCGGUGGAGCAUGUGGUUUAAUUCGAUGCAACGCGAAGAACCUUACCUACUCUUGACAUCCAGAGAAUUUAGCAGAGAUGCUUUAGUGCCUUCGGGAACUCUGAGACAGGUGCUGCAUGGCUGUCGUCAGCUCGUGUUGUGAAAUGUUGGGUUAAGUCCCGCAACGAGCGCAACCCUUAUCCUUUGUUGCCAGCACAUUAUGGUGGGAACUCAAAGGAGACUGCCGGUGAUAAACCGGAGGAAGGUGGGGAUGACGUCAAGUCAUCAUGGCCCUUACGAGUAGGGCUACACACGUGCUACAAUGGCGUAUACAAAGAGAAGCGACCUCGCGAGAGCAAGCGGAACUCAUAAAGUACGUCGUAGUCCGGAUUGGAGUCUGCAACUCGACUCCAUGAAGUCGGAAUCGCUAGUAAUCGUAGAUCAGAAUGCUACGGUGAAUACGUUCCCGGGCCUUGUACACACCGCCCGUCACACCAUGGGAGUGGGUUGCAAAAGAAGUAGGUAGCUUAACCUUCGGGAGGGCGCUUACCACUUUGUGAUUCAUGACUGGGGUGAAGUCGUAACAAGGUAACCA